UACGGAGGGAGCUAGCGUUGUUCGGAAUUACUGGGCGUAAAGCGCGCGUAGGCGGCUUUGUAAGUUAGAGGUGAAAGCCCGGGGCUCAACCCCGGAAUUGCCUUUAAGACUGCAUCGCUUGAAUCCGGGAGAGGUGAGUGGAAUUCCGAGUGUAGAGGUGAAAUUCGUAGAUAUCAGGAGGAACACCUGCGGCGAAGGCGGGUAGCUGGGCCGACA
rnacentral:rRNA from 1 species